UAUUACUGUUGAUUCACUUUGAAUU
rnacentral:piRNA from 1 species